GGAGCGGCCCGAGCGCGGCUCCGCUCGGCUCCCGUGCGGCUGCAGCGGGGCCGGGGCCGGCAGCGAUGGUGGCCGCGCCGGGGCCGGGGCUGCUGGCAUUGGCCUUGGCUUUGUGGCCGGCAGGGCUCUGGGCACAGCCGAGGCUGCAGGAGGCCGGCGGAGGGCUGCGAGCGCCCGGGGACUCCGUCACCCUCUCCUGCCACGGCUCCGGAUUCACCUUUAGGAAUUAUGGAAUUUAUUGGUACCGUCAGUCAAACGAUGACCGGCUGCAGUGGGUGUCCGUUAUUAGUUUUGAUCCGACAGUUCUUUAUUUUGACCAGUCAGUGGAGGGGCGGGCCAAGAUUUCCCGGGACAAUUCCCGGUCCGAUACUUAUCUCUCCCUGCUGACCCUGCAGCCCCGCGACUCUGCCCGCUACUUCUGCGCUAUUCACACGGGGACAGGAAACCCAGCUGGGCUUUAA